rnacentral:lncRNA from 1 species
GAAGCCUGUUUUACUGCAAAAUUAGGUCUUAAUGUGCUUCACAAGCUAAAUCUUUUCAGAAAAAGGACUAGAGCAGUCAUAGUUGGUUGUCUACCCAAUAUCCACUCCCUCUUCCAUUCUCUGGCAGAACCCCAACAUUGUGCUGGGAGCCUGCCCCCUACUCCCACUCCCCCAAUCCAUGCAGGUAAAGAAAGCACAUCUCAGCCCAGCCGAGGACAGAAGGAGGUGGGACAGUUCUGACUGGUCGAAGCCACUUAUGGAAAGCCCAUCCCACCUCUCUCAAUAUAUAUUUCCAGAGGCCAUAUUUAAGCUCCUGUCAUCAUAGAACUUAGAAUUAGAACAAAUGCUCAAUAAACGUUGAUGAAUGAAACAAUCAGCACUUGGCAUUCCCCUCACCAUUGUUAUUGGUCCAGGAACGGAUACAUGACCUAGCUGGGUCAAAUGAGGCUGAAGAGAAGGACUUUUAAGGUUAAAUGAAAGGUUCAUUGUGUUCUCCACUAUUUUGAACAAAGCAACGCACUGCCCAUUUCUGCUGGGCACCAUUUUGCCACUUUGAGAACGGAGCCCGAGAACAAGCUCCCCUCAGAGGAGGGCGGAGCUGAGAGAAUCUCUAAGAAACGGAGCCAGAGCUUACCUUCCCUCUGCACUUCCAGUUCUGGCCUCAACUUGUUAUGAUUCAUGGAUGAAACAGGACCCAGAGGGAGACAAAGGAGUUAGCGUUCAGUGGUUGAUGCUCAGGAAGCAGGAAGAGCUCUCAAGGAAGCCCCCUUCAGAACGAGAAUGGCAGAAGAUGACCUCUCCUCACCGCACUAAUUUCCCGCAAGCUACUGGGGUCAGUACCAGUUCCCGGUAAUGACUGAUGUGGACAACAGCCUGAGACCCCGUCAGCUCUUUCUUCAGCACCGAGAGUUAGGCAUGGAGAGCACAAGGUGGCAGACAGAUGCCCCACAAAGUCCCCAGGACUCCAGUCUGAUGAAGAGAAACAAAGCAGUCUCAGCGUCUGACAGAUUUAUGUUGCAGAGAUCUUUUACGCCCUGUUUUAAUCAGUGUGUCCUGAGCAGUAAGUCUGGAGUUAGCGGUCUCUGUGUUCUGCCACAUCCCACCACGGAUACCUUGCCUUCCUUCUCUACUUAAGCAGAACUACAUCCUUCAGAGACUUAUCAAGAUGGAAUCAGAAGUCACAUGAGGGGCGCCUGGGUGGCGCAGUCGGUUAAGCGUCCGACUUCAGCCAGGUCACGAUCUCACGGUCCGUGAGUUCGAGCCCCGCGUCAGGCUCUGGGCUGAUGGCUCGGAGCCUGGAGCCUGUUUCCGAUUCUGUGUCUCCCUCUCUCUCUGCCCCUCCCCCGUUCAUGCUCUGUCUUUCUCUGUCCCAAAAAUAAAUAAACGUUGAAAAAAAAUUAAAAAAAAAAA